UCAACGAGUCUUUAUCCUUGGCCGACAGGCACGGGUAAUCUUUGAAAUUUCAUCGUGAUGGGGAUAGAUCAUUGCAAUUGUUGGUCUUCAACGAGGAAUUCCUAGUAAGCGCGAGUCAUCAGCUCGCGUUGACUACGUCCCUGCCCUUUGUACACACCGCCCGUCGCUCCUACCGAUUGAAUGAUCCGGUGAAGUGUUCGGAUCGCGUCGACGUGAGCGGUUCGCUGCCCGCGACGUCGCGAGAAGUCCACUGAACCUUAUCAUUUAGAGGAAGGAGAAGUCGUAACAAGGUUUCCGUAGGUGAACCUGCGGAAGGAUCAUUGUCGAAUCCCUAAAAAACAAAAAUGACUUGAGAAUAUGUUCAAUAGCAUGCAUCGGGUGUGAGGGUAAAGCCUCUUCGUCCGUUGCUCUUUGUCCGACCAAUCGUUGGUUGUGUUGGGCAGUGAAAAACAAAAAUCGGCACGGGAAGUGCCAAGGGCUUAUGAAAUGGGAUGCUUUAUCGUGGAAGGGGGACCGUUUGCGGUAUACCUUUAUCACGAUUCUCAAAAGGUCUCCGUAAAAGAAACCUUAUACGACUCUCGACAACG
rnacentral:rRNA from 1 species